ACGUCCUACCAAACCCGUCUCGC
rnacentral:siRNA from 1 species